GACGAACCGUGCGAACGUUAUUCGGAAUCACUGGGCUUAAAGGGCGCGUAGGCGGGCCAGCAAGUCAGGGGUGAAAGCCCACGGCUCAACCGUGGAAGUGCCUCUGAUACUGCGGGCCUCGAGGGAGGUAGGGGCGUGCGGAACUUCCGGUGGAGCGGUGAAAUGCGUAGAUAUCGGAAGGAACACCGGUGGCGAAAGCGGCGCGCUGGACCUCUUCUGACGCUGAGGCGCGAAAGCCAGGGGAGCAAACGGGG
rnacentral:rRNA from 1 species